GAUGAACGCUGGCGGCAUGCCUAAUACAUGCAAGUCGAACGGACCGAAGGGAAAGCUUGCUUUCCUGGAAGUCAGUGGCGAACGGGUGAGUAACACGUAGGUAACCUGCCCAUGUGCCCGGGACAACGCCUGGAAACGGGUGCUAAAACCGGAUAGGUAGAGAGAUCGCAUGAACUUUCUAUUAAAGGGGCUACGGCCCUGAACAUGGAUGGACCUGCGGUGCAUUAGCUAGUUGGUGAGGUAACGGCCCACCAAGGCGACGAUGCAUAGCCGACCUGAGAGGGCGCACGGCCACAUUGGGACUGAGACACGGCCCAAACUCCUACGGGCGGCAGCAGUAGGGAAUUUUCGUCAAUGGGGGGAACCCUGAACGAGCAAUGCCGCGUGAGUGAAGACGGUCUUCGGAUUGUAAAGCUCUGUUGCGAGAGAAAAACGGCACUCAUAGGGAAUGAUGAGUGAGUGAUGGUAUCUUACCAGAAAGUCACGGCUAACUACGUGCCAGCAGCCGCGGUAA
rnacentral:rRNA from 1 species